AGCAGCCGCGGUAAUUCCAGCUCCAAUAGCGUAUAUUAAAGUUGUUGCAGUUAAAAAGCUCGUAGUUGAAUUUCGGGGUUAGUAGGUUGGUCAUGCCUCUGGUAUGUACUGGUCUCACUGAUUCCUCCUUCCUGAUGAGCCGUAAUGCCAUUAAUUUGGUGUUGCGGGGAAUUUGGACUGUUACUUUAGAAAAAUUAGAGUGUUUAAAGCAGGCUCACGCUUGAAUACAUUAGCAUGGAAUAACGGAAUAGGACGUUUGAUUCUAUUUUGUUGGUUUCUAGGAUCGACGUAAUGAUUAAUAGGGAUAGUUGGGGGCAUUAGUAUUCAAUUGUCAGAGGUGAAAUUCUUGGAUUUAUUGAAGACUAACUACUGCGAAAGCAUUUGCCAAGGAUGUUUUCAUUAAUCAAAGAACGAAAGUUAGGGGAUCGAAGACGAUCAGAUACCGUCGUAGUCUUAACCAUAAACUAUGCCGACUAGGGAUCGGAUGAUGUUAAUUUUUAAUGUACUCA
rnacentral:rRNA from 1 species